GGGGAAUUUUCCGCAAUGGGCGAAAGCCUGACGGAGCAAUACCGCGUGAGGGAGGAAGGCUCUUGGGUCGUAAACCUCUUUUGUCAGGGAAGAACACAAUGACGGUACCUGACGAAUCAGCAUCGGCUAACUCCGUGCCAGCAGCCGCGGUAAUACGGGGGAUGCAAGCGUUAUCCGGAAUUAUUGGGCGUAAAGCGUCCGCAGGUGGUUGACCAAGUCUGCUGUCAAAGCAUGGGGCUUAACUCCAUAUAGGCAGUGGAAACUGGUCGACUAGAGUACGGUAGGGGUCGCGGGAAUUCCCAGUGUAGCGGUGAAAUGCGUAGAUAUUGGGAAGAACACCAGUGGCGAAAGCGCGCGGCUGGACCUGUACUGACACUGAGGGACGAAAGCUAGGGGAGCGAAAGGGAUUAGAUACCCCUGUAGUCCUAGCUGUAAACGAUGGAUACUAGGUGUUGCCCGUAUCGACCCGGGCAGUGCCGUAGCUAACGCGUUAAGUAUCCCGCCUGGGGAGUACGCACGCAAGUGUGAAACUCAAAGGAAUUGACGGGGGCCCGCACAAGCGGUGGAGUAUGUGGUUUAAUUCGAUGCAACGCGAAGAACCUUACCAGGACUUGACAUGUCGCGAAUCUCGGUGAAAGCUGAGAGUGCCUUCGGGAGCGCGAACACAGGUGGUGCAUGGCUGUCGUCAGCUCGUGUCGUGAGAUGUUAGGUUAAGUCCCGCAACGAGCGCAACCCUCGUUUUUAGUUGCCAUCAUUUAGUUGGGCACUCUAGAGAGACUGCCGGUGACAAACCGGAGGAAGGUGGGGAUGACGUCAAGUCAUCAUGCCCCUUACGUCCUGGGCUACACACGUACUACAAUGCUAGGGACAAAGGGUCGCAAGCUCGCGAGAGCAAGCUAAUCCCAUAAACCCUGGCUCAGUUCAGAUUGCAGGCUGCAACUCGCCUGCAUGAAGGCGGAAUCGCUAGUAAUCGCAGGUCAGCAUACUGCGGUGAAUACGUUCCCGGGCCUUGUACACACCGCCCGUCACACCAUGGAAGUUGGUCACGCCCGAAGUCAUUACUUCAACCGUUCGCGGAGGAGGAUGCCGAAGGCAGGGCUGAUGACUGGGGUGAAGUCGUAACAAGGUAGCCGUACCGGAAGGUGUGGCUGGAUCACCUCCU
rnacentral:rRNA from 1 species